rnacentral:rRNA from 1 species
CAAGCGGUGGAGCAUGUGGUUUAAUUCGAUGCAACGCGAAGAACCUUACCUACUCUUGACAUCCACGGAAUUCGGCAGAGAUGCCUUAGUGCCUUCGGGAACCGUGAGACAGGUGCUGCAUGGCUGUCGUCAGCUCGUGUUGUGAAAUGUUGGGUUAAGUCCCGCAACGAGCGCAACCCUUAUCCUUUGUUGCCAGCGAUACGGUCGGGGACUCAAAGGAGACUGCCGGUGAUAAACCGGAGGAAGGUGGGGAUGACGUCAAGUCAUCAUGGCCCUUACGAGUAGGGCUACACACGUGCUACAAUGGCGCAUACAAAGAGAAGCGACCUCGCGAGAGCAAGCGGACCUCACAAAGUGCGUCGUAGUCCGGAUCGGAGUCUGCAACUCGACUCCGUGAAGUCGGAAUCGCUAGUAAUCGUGGAUCAGAAUGCCACGGUGAAUACGUUCCCGGGCCUUGUACACACC